rnacentral:rRNA from 1 species
GACGAACGCUGGCGGCGCGCCUAACACAUGCAAGUCGAACGGAGCUUAAAGAGCUUGCUUUUUAAGCUUAGUGGCGAACGGGUGAGUAACGCGUGAGUAACCUGCCCAGGAGUGGGGGACAACAGUUGGAAACGACUGCUAAUACCGCAUAAGCCCACGGAUUCGCAUGGAUCUGCGGGAAAAGGAUUUAUUCGCUUCAGGAUGGACUCGCGUCCAAUUAGCUAGUUGGUGAGGUAACGACCCACCAAGGCGACGAUUGGUAGCCGGACUGAGAGGUUGAACGGCCACAUUGGGACUGAGACACGGCCCAGACUCCUACGGGAGGCAGCAGUGGGGGAUAUUGCACAAUGGGGGAAACCCUGAUGCAGCGACGCCGCGUGGAGGAAGAAGGUUUUCGGAUUGUAAACUCCUGUCGUUAGGUCGAUAAUGACGGUACCUAACAAGAAAGCACCGGCUAACUACGUGCCAGCAGCCGCCGUAA